UGGAAAAACCAUCUCUGGCCGGCU
rnacentral:siRNA from 1 species